UUUAUUUAGAUCAUCAAAUCUAAAACUGAGUACCAAUCCCACUUUGUGGAGCAUUACUUGGUAUUUAGUUGAACAAACACCAUGAAACUAUCAACUACACAAAUGUCUUCCUACAACCAGAUCGAUCCAACCCACAUCAGCAUGGAAAAUGAAUAAAUCAAGCAGAAUUACCAAGUGUUUGAUGUUUUUUGGCAAUGUCUGGUAUGUUUGGACAUAUCUGAGUGGACCUCGCUUCACCUUGCUGUUUGAGAAUUUUUCAUUUACACAAUCUUAUAUCUACCAGCUUUGUAGAUGCAGUAAACAUG